rnacentral:misc_RNA from 1 species
UUUCCGUAGGUGAACCUGCGGAAGGAUCAUUAAAGUUAUAGUCCCCCGGCCCUCUGGGCUGGGGUCUUCUAUACCACCCUUUGUUUAUUACACCUUUGUUGCUUUGGCAGGCCUGCCCUCGGGCUGCUGGCUCCGGCCGGCUCGCGUCUGCCAGAGGACCUAAACUCUGUUUGUAUAUGAAGUCUGAGUACUAUAUAAUAGUUAAAACUUUCAACAACGGAUCUCUUGGUUCUGGCAUCGAGAAGAACGCAGC